AACGAACGCUGGCGGCAUGCCUAACACAUGCAAGUCGAACGAGACCUUCGGGUCUAGUGGCGCACGGGUGCGUAACGCGUGGGAACCUGCCCUUAGGUUCGGAAUAACUCCCCGAAAGGGGUGCUAAUACCGGAUAAUGUCUUCGGACCAAAGAUUUAUCGCCUUUGGUUGGGCCCGCGUUGCAUUAGCUAGUUGGUAGGGUAAAAGCCUACCACGGCGACGAUCCAUAGCUGGUCUGAGAGGAUGAUCAGCCACACUGGGACGGAGACACGGCCCAGACUCCUACGGGAGGCAGCAGUGGGGAAUAGUGGACAACGGGCGAAAGCCUGAUCCAGCAAUGCCGCGUGAGUGAUGAAGGCCUUAGGGUUGUAAAGCGCUUUUACCCGGGAUGAUAAUGACAGUACCGGGAGAAUAAGCUCCGGCUAACUCCGUG
rnacentral:rRNA from 1 species